CCCCUCAGACACUAUAAACCCGCAGGCAGGGUAACCCCACAGGCAGGAUAACCCCACAGACACUAUAACCCCACAGGCAGGAUAACCCCACAGACACUAUAACCCCUCAGACACUAUAAACCCACAGGCAGGAUAAGACCUCAGACACUAUAACCCCUCAGACACUAUAACCCCACAGGCAGGAUAACCCCACAGGCAGGAUAACCCCACAGACACUAUAACCCCACAGGCAGGAUAACCCCACAGGCAGGAUAACCCCACAGACAGGAUAAUCCCAGAGACACUAUAACACAACAGACACUAUAACCCCACAGGCAGGAUAACCCAACAGGAAGGAUAAUCCCACAGAGACUGUAACCCCACAGGCAGGAUAACCCAACAGGAAGGAUAAUCCCACAGAGACUGUAACCCCACAG
ensembl:lncRNA